rnacentral:rRNA from 1 species
UGCCUUACACAUGCAAGUCGAACGGCAGCAUGGAGAGCUUGCUCUCUGAUGGCGAGUGGCGAACGGGUGAGUAAUGCAUCGGAACGUACCGUGUAAUGGGGGAUAACGUAGCGAAAGUUACGCUAAUACCGCAUAUUCUGUGCGCAGGAAAGCAGGGGACCUUCGGGCCUUGUGCUGAUUGAGCGGCCGAUAUCAGAUUAGCUAGUUGGUGAGGUAAAGGCUCACCAAGGCGACGAUCUGUAGCGGGUCUGAGAGGAUGAUCCGCCACACUGGAACUGAGACACGGUCCAGACUCCUACGGGAGGCAGCAGUGGGGAACAUUGGACAAUGGGGGGAACCCUGAUCCAGCCAUGCCGCGUGUGUGAAGAAGGCCUUUUGGUUGUAAAGCACUUUAAGCGAGGAGGAGGAGCUCUAGAUUAAUACUCUAGAUGCUUGGACGUUACUCGCAGAAUAAGCACCGGCUAACUCUGUG